GAAAGUCCGGGGCUUAACCCCGGAUCUGCGGUGGGUACGGGCAGACUAGAGUGCAGUAGGGGAGACUGGAAUUCCUGGUGUAGCGGUGAAAUGCGCAGAUAUCAGGAGGAACACCGAUGGCGAAGGCAGGUCUCUGGGCUGUAACUGACGCUGAGGAGCGAAAGCAUGGGGAGCGAACAGGAUUAGAUACCCUGGUAGUCCAUGCCGUAAACGUUGGGCACUAGGUGUGGGGGACAUUCCACGUUUUCCGCGCCGUAGCUAACGCAUUAAGUGCCCCGCCUGGGGAGUACGGCCGCAAGGCUAAAACUCAAAGGAAUUGACGGGGGCCCGCACAAGCGGCGGAGCAUGCGGAUUAAUUCGAUGCAACGCGAAGAACCUUACCAAGGCUUGACAUGUUCCUGACCGCCGUAGAGAUACGGUUUCCCCUUUGGGGCAGGUUCACAGUGUGGUGCAUGGUUGUCGUCAGCUCGUGUCGUGAGAUGUUGGGUUAAGUCCCGCAACGAGCGCAACCCUCGUUCCAUGUUGCCAGCACGUAGUGGUGGGGACUCAUGGGAGACUGCCGGGGUCAACUCGGAGGAAGGUGGGGACGACGUCAAAUCAUCAUGCCCCUUAUGUCUUGGGCUUCACGCAUGCUACAAUGGCCGGUACAAUGCGCGCUCUCGCCGAUACUGUGAGGUGGAGCUAUAUACGCACGAUAUACAAAAAGCCGGUCUCAGUUCGGAUUGGGGUCUGCAACUCGACCCCAUGAAGUCGGAGUCGCUAGUAAUCGCAGAUCAGCAACGCUGCGGUGAAUACGUUCCCGGG
rnacentral:rRNA from 1 species